rnacentral:rRNA from 1 species
AACGAACGCUGGCGGCAUGCCUAACACAUGCAAGUCGAACGAGACCUUCGGGUCUAGUGGCGCACGGGUGCGUAACGCGUGGGAACCUGCCCUUAGGUUCGGAAUAACUCCCCGAAAGGGGUGCUAAUACCGGAUAAUGUCUUCGGACCAAAGAUUUAUCGCCUUUGGAUGGGCCCGCGUUGGAUUAGCUAGUUGGUAGGGUAAAAGCCUACCACGGCGACGAUCCAUAGCUGGUAUGAGAGGAUGAGCAGCCACACUGGGACGGAGACACGGCCCAGAAUACUACGGGAGGGAGGAGAGGGGAAUAUUGGAAAAUGGGGGAAAGGAUGAUCCAGCAAUGCCGGGUGAGUGAUGAAGGCCGGAGGGAAGUAAAGCUCUUUUACACGGGAUGAUAAUGACAGUACCGGGAGAAUAAGCUCCGGCUAACUCCGUG